rnacentral:rRNA from 1 species
GCCUACGGGGGGCAGCAGUAGGGAAUCUUCCACAAUGGGCGAAAGCCUGAUGGAGCAACGCCGCGUGGGUGAAGAGGGUCUUCGGAUCGUAAAACCCUGUUGUUAGAGAAGAAAGUGCGUGAGAGUAACUGUUCACGUUUCGACGGUAUCUAACCAGAAAGCCACGGCUAACUACGUGCCAGCAGCCGCGGUAAUACGUAGGUGGCAAGCGUUAUCCGGAUUUAUUGGGCGUAAAGGGAACGCAGGCGGUCUUUUAAGUCUGAUGUGAAAGCCUUCGGCUUAACCGGAGUAGUGCAUUGGAAACU